UUCGGAUUGUAGUCUGCAACCCGACUACAUGAAGCUGGAAUCGCUAGUAAUCGCGGAUCAGAAUGCCGCGGUGAAUACGUUCCCGGGUCUUGUACACACCGCCCGUCACACCAUGGGAGUCGGAAGUGCCCGAAGCCGGUGACUCAACCUUUAAGGAGAGAGCCGUCGAAGGCAGGUCUGAUAACUGGGGUGAAGUCGUAACAAGGUAGC
rnacentral:rRNA from 1 species